rnacentral:rRNA from 1 species
AUGAGUGCUGAAAGAAAGACAAGAUACAUUGCAAUGCGACGUCCAGAUUUACCUACUACAUCUGCGGCCAAUCAGUCUUUGCACAGUAGUGCAUCACCUGUGUCAACGAACAUGGCAGGACACACCUUCAAAUCUGUUGGUAAUUCAGUCCAUCUGCAGUUCACUUCACUUCUUAUAUCCGCCCAGGUUGAAUUUGAGUGCAUCACCACGCCUGCAACCUUUGCAGAUUCGUUGUCCGCCGAAAAUGCGUCAGCAGCUCGUGGCCCCACGUACAUUCGCAACAUCGAAACCCAUGGUAGUUAUCCCAACAACGGUCAUCUUUCAUUUUGUAAUCAUUCAUCAGAUAUUUAUAAUGAUUUGAAAAUAUUGCAGGUGCCUAUUUAA